AUAACAUUAGUUUGUAAUUAAAAGCAACUUAAAAACUUGGCUAUUACAACAACGAUAUUAAAUUUAUUUUUUAAGGGGAAAGACCCAUCACAAUAGCUUGCUAUUGGGGUUUUUGCACGUCGCCCAAGCGUUGCACUGCUGCACGGGCCUGUCGUACCCUAC
rnacentral:snRNA from 1 species